CCAGAACCCGAUGGGUUGGGCCAGAGACAGAACACACGUGGGUCAAGCGGCGUCUUGAAAAUGUGUCUUUGAUACUCUGCUUGGUUAGAGACGAUUUAAAUCACUGACUUUGUUUUGAACAACACCCCUCAUUUUGACGUCACCACAAACGACUUCAAUGAUGGCAGUCUCAGACAGAAGUGAGGGCCUUGGAUUCCAGCUGAAUCACGCGCUGCGGCGCCCCCUGGCAGCUCUAAUGGGCUGCUCUCGCCUGGAGUUGGAUGGUGGCCAUUUUGUUAUCAAAAGCUACGGCUGGGCAGAUGACUCCUUAAUUAUCGGAGAAUCAAAGUGGACAGAGCCGCCGCUGACAUUCAAAAGCAUGGCAAGUGGUGGCCUGCCAUUCAUCUGGCCUCAGUGCAACACAAACCAGAUGGACACGGCCCGUCACCAAGUGACAUCUCCAGAAAGCCACGUCCCCCUGCCAGUCCUCCCACACCAGAGCCAGAGGAAGAUGAAAGGUACGGCCAUGGGGAGACCGGUUGUGCCAAACAGCGCCAGAUCUGAUCUGAUGAACAACUGCACAGGGAAGGAAUCAAAGUGGCUGGAGGACCUGGUGUAUUAGUUGAACAGAAGCUGUUGGAAGAUCGACUGCAAUAGGCUGUAAGAGGAGAGAGGCUGGGGAAUGCAGGGGAUAUUACUACUGUAGCUAAAUAGACCAAAAAUAAGAAGUUAUCAAUUUCUUCACUAUAGUGUGUUGAUUAGCUGGGUCUUAUAUAGUCAUAUAAUAGGUCAUAUAGUGUAUAAUUUCAUUCUUAUUAAUACUAGGCCUAUUUUGUUAAUCGUUUUUAAUUACCUUUUGUUGAAUGUAUAUCACUAAUAUGUACAUUAAGUGUGUUUGUGAACCAUAUACUGUAUGCAUAUAUGUGCAUUAUACUGUAUGUCUGUGAGUAAAGGUAAAAUGGAGGCACUUAGGAUAUUGAGAUCCACUUGUGUUAGAGGAACAUGCCAGCUCCUCCUUACUUGGAUUUUACAUUUGGUACGACUUCCUCCUGGAGAAGCUGUGGGACUCUGAUACUCUAAUCGCAGCACGCCAGAGUUUGCUCAAUGUCACCUACCAGUGAGCUGCAACCAGGCGCCCAUUGCGCCCAUCCGGCCGCUUGCACCACAAUGACACUGUGUGUGUUGGUUGGUGCCUGCCGUUGCUAGGCUACAGUCGGAGGAAUCAAAUUCAGGUGGCUUCCACAGCUGUGCUGUAACGUUGCGCACCACGGGCCAUCUGUGGCCGCGCUCCCAGCAUGCACCUGGACACGAUAGGUCAGGAAGAGAUGGCCCACCAUGCCAACCCAUAGGAUCACGUUCCUUGUGGUACAGUCAGAGACAGUAACAAUUACUUUAAAGCUACCAUCUGGGAUUUCAUUUUCAGCAAAAUGCCCCCACCGAUUGUUUUGGUAUGCAGCUGAGCUGAGGGAUCUUUGUAUGUUUUAUAAAAUUGUUUAGUGUUGAUAUUUCAUGAUUUGAACUCACCAGUUUUUUGUUGCAAUUCAGCAUUGAGUUGUAAAGAACAAUAUUUUUUAAAUAUAUGAAUUGCAAUCAUUUAAAACAAAUUAUCAAUUAAAUGGCUGUGCAGAACAUUUUUCAGGGGGUGGGAAUUGAGAUCUCUGAAGUGCUGCAAUCUUAAAGCACACACACACACAAACACCCCUCUGUGUGAACGCUCAUCUUAACCAGGAAAUGAUUGAGAUAAUGCUGACCGUUCCUUGAGAUCUUGCCUAAAGGCACGUUACCCCUCAAUGCAUGAGCGCUUCUCACAGUCAUAAGUUUUCUCUCAUUUGUUGUGAAUAGAUCAGCCACCAACAAAGGCAUCGUUAGAAGGGGGUUAGGCCCCACCAGGCUUCUGCUAAUUAUGAAUGGGGUCUCGGUAAUAAUUCAAGGGCCCUUGGUGCAGCUGGACGUGGAAGAGGAGCUCACAAAUCCAGAGCUUCCAUGCUCUGCCCAUCUGCCUCGGUUUCCAACCACCUGCCUAACAUUCUGACCCAC
rnacentral:lncRNA from 1 species